GACGAGUCGAGAAAAACAACGCGAGAUGCGGAUAUUUUUGAGAUAGAGGACAUCUACUUUAAAUAGCAGGCACGGGAAGUGCUGAUGUUGGACAACCCUGAUGUGAACAGGAAGUGUCCACA
rfam:Lactobacillus sp. ASF360 genomic scaffold acMPL-supercont1.1, whole genome shotgun sequence.